rnacentral:rRNA from 1 species
UACAGAGACUGCAAGCGUUAUUCGGAUUCACUGGGCGUAAAGGGUGCGCAGGCGGCCGGGUGUGUCAGAUGUGAAAUCCCGAGGCUCAACCUCGGAACUGCGUCUGAAACUACUCGGCUAGAGUACUGGAGAGGGUAACGGAAUUCACGGUGUAGCAGUGAAAUGCGUAGAUAUCGUGAGGAACACCAGAGGCGAAGGCGGUUACCUGGACAGUUACUGACGCCCAGGCACGAAAGCAUGGGGAGCAAAAGGG